CGUGGCCAUACCACCUGUAGGGGAUUUUCUUACGAAAUCUAAGCUGUGGGAAAUGGGAAAUUGCGUAAAAAUCUGGGUUGGGUGAUUUAAAAAAAAAGCAGGGGCUGGGCAUAGGCAGUAAUAUAAGGCAAGAUGGCUAAGGAAGAAGGUGGGCAGCGGAGCCGGUGAAGGAAGCCGCAGGCGCGGAUGGAGGCGAAGAGAUCAGGAGCAGUAAAGGAACACUCUCUUCCCCAGUCAGCUGGGAUACGGAUUUUGUAAGGCCUAGGGACUUUGUCUUUGGAGGUCCUGUCUCCAUAAGGCUUCCCAAAACAAAGAAUGUUCAGAUUGGACUGGCCUUAAAAUGCAGUAUUUAAAACAGCAACAUGUCUGACAGAUCCGAGAAAUGAAAUACGUCCAUUUCUUUUGGCAAGGAGCAGAAGGCAACAUAAAGCAGCUGCAAGAAUUAAUUCAUGGAGAUAGUUGACAUUUUCGAGCUGACUGCCUCUUAGAGAAAAUGAUGUCAUUCUCCAGCAGCCUAAUGACAGUCAUCAGCCUGAGAGGACACAUGCUAAUAAGACUAUCACCAGCAAAGAAUUUUCUGAGCAAAUGUGUACUGGAGACCUUCUGAGGAACCCACUAGAGCCUGCACAUCCCCUUUUCCUAGCAAGGUCAACUGGAAAACAGGUCUUACUGCCUAUUAGAGCAAAGGAAGAGGAAAUCUUUGGCUAACCGGUCAGAGAAAACAACUGGAUUAAACAAGAUACUCUUCAUGACUGUGGUUGCAAAAAUGCAACACAACUUUUAAAAAUCUUAGUACUAAUUUUUAAAAAUGGCUUUUAAUUUGGGGGAGACUCGAUAACAGAACCCGAAAAUCUGAUGAAUUGUAUGAACAUUUUGUUCAGAAAAAUAAACAUAUAUUACCAGAAAAUUUCAUAUGUGAUUCAAGAAGUCCACAGAAGUUCCAUGUUAGUAAAAUUGAGGAACAAUGGUGACACCCUAAUGAUAGGGCAACAUGGUUCUGCUUUAGUAAGUCUGAGAGCUGCAGCUGUGAAAAGGGUCCUGACUCCAUUCAGAUGCAGUCUCAUUCUAUUGCCAGGCUGGAGUGCAGUGGUGCGAUCUGCAACCUCCGCCUCCCGGGUUCAAGCGAUUCUCCCGCCUCAGCCUCCCAAGUAGCUGGGACGACAGGCACCCGCCAUCAUGCCCGGCUAAUUUUUGUAUUUUUAGUAGAGAUGGGGUUUCACCAUGUUGGCCGGGAUGGUCUUGAUCUCUUGACCUCGUGAUCCGCCCACCUCAGCCUCCUAAAGUGCUGAGAUUACAGACGUGAGCCACUGCGCCCAGCCGCAAGCAUCAACUUGUAAUGCUGUCCAUGUGAUUUCAAUGGGAGCCAAUUAGUAAGCUUUGAAUGGGUUACAGCUGUGUCCAGUUAAGCCUUGUUAACUCCUCGAGCACUUGGGCAAGACCAAAGCAGGUAAAGCCUGCAGUCUUCACCUCUUGCCACAAGUGGACUCCACCAAUGAGCUGCGGAAAGAACAUUUCCUACGUACCAUGCCAUGAAGAAAGUUGGGGAGCACUGAAGUGCCUGAUUUCAAUCUUAUAAUAAUACUGUAAGGUUCGGGUUGAGAAUUCAGUUCUAGUGAAGCUCUUCACUACACAGCGAUUGAGAAAUCAAGGCUGUUGGCUGCUUGGACAUCUUUAAUGUGCGGCUUCCAGGACAGCAGUUCCCUUCUCAUUUGGGAUCGUUUUUGCCUGUAGUCUCAAUCUGUUGCCCAGGCUGAGGUGCAGUGGUGCGAUCACAGCUCACUGUAGCCUUGAACUCCCAGGCUCAAGCGAUCCUCCCACCUAGGCCUUCUGAGUAAUUGAGACCAUAGAGGGUCUAAAGAGGAGCUACUUUGUCACUCAUCACUCGCUUGAAUAUUCAUCAGCAACAGAAGAGGAAGCUGAUCUGGGGGGUGCCGGUGGUUGUCUAUGGGGGAACUGAGGCCCUACGAAGUUAAAUGAUCUGCCAAGUUAUCCCUGAAAAACAUUAAGGCCCUCAAGUUUCCUAGGUUUAGGACUGAACAACUCCGGGAAUCUGAAAGAUGAUGCAAAUAAAGAGGAAGACGGACAUAAUCUCGAAGGGAGAGAAAGGAGCUGGGAAUGGGGGAUCAUAUUCUAAUAGCUCAUCAUCACCACAUGAAACAUACAAUGCAGAGGAACUCUUCAAGGGGUGAAGGGAAAGUAUAAAACAAGACAGAAGAUUUCCUUUCUUCCAUGAGGAUAUAAUUCUAGUGGGAGAACCAAUAAGCAAACCAGCAGAAGAAUCUUAGACUGGGAGACGUGCUAAGCUGAGAACUGGGGCAGCCGGUGCCUGGGGAGCUACACUGGAACUGUGAUUGUGAAACCAAUUCAAAGAGGUAGCAUUUACAGUGAGACCUGAAUGACAAGAAGGAGCCAGAUGUGCAGUGAUUCUCCAGGAAGGAGUUCCAGGUAUCGAGAACAGCUGGCAUAAAUGUUUGAAGGUGGGUAUAGCAGCACUAUUCACAAUAGCCAGAAGGUGGAAACAACCCUAACGUCCAUCAGCAGUUGAAUGGAUAAACAAAAUGUGGUAUAUCCAUGCUAUGGAAUAUUAUUCAGCCUUAAAAACAAAUGAAGGACUGAUACAUGAUAAUGUCAGGCCUCCGAGCCCAAGCCAAGCCAUCUCAUCCCCUGUGACUUGCACGUAUACAUCCAGAUGGCCUGAAGUAACUGAAGAUCCACAAAAGAAGUAAAAAUAGCCUGAACUGAUGACAUUCCACCAUUGUGAUUUGUUCCUGCCCCACCCUAACUGAUCAAUGUAGUUUGUAAUCUUCCCACCCUUAAGAAGGUUCUUUGUAAUUCUCCCCACCCUUGAGAAUGUACUUUGUGAGAUCCACCCCUGCCCACAAAACAUUGCUCUUAACUUCACCGCCCAUCCCAAAACCUGUAAGAACUAAUGAUAAUCCAUCUCCCUUCGCUGACUCUUUUCGGACUCAGCCCACCUGCACCCAGGUGAAAUAAACAGCCAUGCUGCUCACACAAAACCUGUUUGGUGGUCUCUUCACACGGACACACAUGAAACUAUGACUUGGAUGAACCUUGAAAACAUUAGGUUAAGUGAAAGAAGCCAGUCACAAAAGAAGCCAGUCACAUACAUAUUGUGUGAUUCCUUUUAUAUGAACUAUCUGGAAUAGAUUAGUCCAUAGAGACAGA
rnacentral:lncRNA from 10 species